GACGAACGCUGGCGGCGUGCUUAACACAUGCAAGUCGAGCGGUAAGGCCCUUUCGGGGGUACACGAGCGGCGAACGGGUGAGUAACACGUGGGUGACCUGCCCUCAGCUCUGGGAUAAGCCCGGGAAACUGGGUCUAAUACCGGAUAUGACUCCACGGUGCAUGUCGUGGGGUGGAAAGCCUUGUGCGGCUGAGGACGGGCCCGCGGCCUAUCAGCUUGUUGGUGGGGUGAUGGCCUACCAAGGCGACGACGGGUAGCCGACCUGAGAGGGCGACCGGCCACACUGGGACUGAGACACGGCCCAGACUCCUACGGGAGGCAGCAGUGGGGAAUCUUGCGCAAUGGGCGAAAGCCUGACGCAGCGAUGCCGCGUGAGGGAUGACGGCCUGG
rnacentral:rRNA from 1 species